CUCUGCUAAUUUUUUUUUAUCGACCAGCAGCAGAGCCGGACCUUUAUCAAGGGGAUAUACACACUGGGAUCUUCACAGGGUGCUUACGAGCAGACUUUGACCUUUUUUCGAUUUGUCGAGGUGAGAGCUCAAUAUUUUCCCUCCGAUUAGUUGUGAACACUAGGUGUAAAAACGAACGAACUUUUCCUUCUCGCUUGCCAGUUUCAGUAUCCGAAAUGAUUGCAACGGAAAGCACUUGGUUUGUCUUUUGGUUCCACUCUUGAAGUAUACCCUCUACGCUUGCUCGUCCAAUCAUUAUUUUGGAGCAUUCGCGAUGUAGAUCUUUUCUAGACCAUCCUCAAGUUUGUUUUUCUCAUAUUCUCACACAUUGAAUUGGAGCUCCACUAGUUUUACUGCGCUUGGAAGACGCUGAUUACGGGGACGCAUUCUGAACCCUCUUUUCCCAUCGAAUGUUUCGUUGCACCUUUGAUGUUCCUGCUUCCCGCUUUUCUUCCUGCUAAUGUUUUUGAAGCCCAUCAUGACGUAUGGCAUCUCAGCGUAGCGUAGCGGCUCAGUACCCACUCCCUCUGGAGGAGCCAAGCAGUUCCCCCUAUCCCUUGCGAGUGUCAACCCUCUGCUUGUAGUGACAGGGCCAAGCACCUGCGACGUGGUGAGGUCAGAGCGAUGUGUCGCUGCUGAUGCCGGCGGUGCGCUUCUUGAUGGCGCUGCGUCGGAGAGAGCUGCAACUAUGCAGCCGUUUGUGCCAUGUGUGUGUGACGGGCAGGGUGCCCACGUGACCCCGAUGUGUCCCACCUGGCCCCCACUGCCCACUGGUGAGGGAGCCCGCGCCACCCCGAGGGGAGAUGCAGCAGGGGGCGGCCGGCAUGAUGGGUGAGCGGCUGCGAGGCGCCCUGCUCAGUGGGUGGUGUUUGGGGCCGAGAUCACGCACUGGUGACCGAGUCGGCGCACUGCCGCAACGUGUGUCUAGCGCUGCUUUGCAGCAGGCGGUGGGCGUGCAGCCGGCCUGGGGCAGAGUUGUGCUGGGCCCAUGCCCCCUGGCAGAGAAUGAAUAUAAAAAAAAAUGGACUGCAACAAUGAGAAGACGAUGUGAAUACAGUAUUCAAAAGGGACGACAACAAAGAACACGCGUACUGUUUCACAGAAGAAGUUGUGUGCGUGGUAUCUUCCGAAUCGCGGCUUCUCUCUUACCCCCUUUUUCGACGAUUGCAGGUUAGGGCCCGAUAUGUACGUCGGGACUGCGACUGUCUUACAGGCUUGGUCGACUUUCAACCUUCAAGGUGUUUCUACUUCUGCCCGGUCUUUUCUCUGUUACUGGUUUCCUGUCUUUUAUUAAAUUUCCUGGCACACAAUGCGAUGGGUAUGGUACUUCGGCACAG
rnacentral:misc_RNA from 1 species